AAAAGGAGAAAAAAGGAGAAACGAAUGAACACGGAUCAAAAGAAUCUAAUACCAACCACGCAGACGCUACGGAUUAUGAGGAUCUAGAUAGCCAGUAGGAAAUAGAGAAGAAGUUCGCCAAAAGUUACUGGAAAUGGCUUUUUAAUAUUCUCCGAAAUGGAUGGAAAGGACAUUCUGAUUUUUCGUGUCUCUCCUUCACUUUUAUCUCUCCGCGAUCUUAGACAUUUUAGUGAGCUUAUUUCUCAACAAGCUUAUUGUUACAAUUCAAGUGAGCUUGUGUUACUGGCCAAAUUGUGAAAAAUUAUUUGUGUUCAAAUUUAUAUCUCACUAUAUGUUUAAUUUAUUUGGUUGGGGUCCUUCUGAUUCGUUAGCUUUCUGCAUUCACUUCCUCUCUCUAGGGUAAUAUACCAACAUAUACCCAACUCCUUCACAUGGACAGACAAUACAAAGUUGACCACGAGGACAAGUCCUCUCUAGGCCAACCCCACUUCUUCCUCACAUUAAUAAAACCAAAAAAGAAAAGAAAAAAACCUCCAGUUCAGCUUCCACCACUCCUCCCAUAGUCCCACUGCACGUCAACGAUUCCCCAGGUCCUAGUCAAUUUGGACUCCAUGUCUCCUUCGUUACUGCGGAUUCAGGAAAUCAAACACAAUCCGAACUCGUAAUUCGAUUCAGAUCUAUUAGACAACAUCAUCUUAUAUUAUAAUAUAUAUAUAAUUUCUAUAUUAGUGAAAUCUACCAUAGGUGUUUUAGUACGUGCUUGUUAGAAAGCUUAAUUACAAUGACAUAUCUCUCGAAUGGAUCCGGUCCUACUUUAGGAUUAUUCGAUGUCUCCUCAUUGCAAUUGCCUAAAGAGAAGACUUGCUCUACUCCAAUAACUCCUCGAGACUCCAAUAUAGGUGGUACACCACAUCAUACUUGGGAGAUCACCAUGUAAUGUGCACCCCUUCUUUUUGACUCACAUUUACUUGUG
rnacentral:lncRNA from 1 species